CGCUGUGCCGCCCUACCCUGCUCCUAACAACUUGACGUGCCUUUUCUUCGCGCCGUUACCACGCCGCGGCGGCACCGACCAAACUUCCGUUACCCUGUCCUCAUUGCAGACCGCCGCAGCCACCGCCAUUGACGCAGGAGCCCGCGCGAAGGACAGCAACAUGUUGUCACGCCGCCUCGCCAUCGUUUGGCGACCACUCGCCCUUCCUCCAUGAUGGAAUCAACCACAGCCACUGCCGCUCACGAAUGCUCGCGCUCUCCCAGUUGCGAUUCGAGGAGCCGCCACCACUCCGUCCCCCUUUCACUCACGAUUCGCAGUUCACCGCCGCAGCUCUCCCUCCUCGUAGUUUGCAGAUCGCUGCCCCAUCCCUCCUCCCCUCAUAAUUGCAUCGUCGUCGAUCGCUGCCGCAUUCCAAAAGGUUCCUUACAACUGAUGCCGUCAACUUGGUCUUGGGCAAGAAACUUCCUUGACUUGGUUCAAAGGCUGAAGACUGCUCUGUUGGGUGCUGAAGCUCUUGUUGCUGAUGCUGAGAUGAAGCAGUUCGGUAAUCCAUCUGUGAGGAAGUGGCUCGAUAGUCUCCGAGAAGCUGUUUACUGUGCUCAGGACUUGCUCGACACUGUCCUCACCAAAGCCGCCACUCAAAAGGAGCUAAGUUCUUCCUGGUGGUCCCCUAGCAUAUUCAACAACCGAGAUAGAGAUGACAUGGUAGACAAGAUGGAAGGGGUGGUUAGAAGAAUUGAGGAUCUUGGAAAACAAAAAGAUUUCCUUGGUCUUGAAAAGAUUCCCACUGGUAGCUCAUCAUGGAGGACUCCGACCAGUUCUCUUGUGAGAGGGAAUGUGUGUGGCAGGGAUGAUGACCAGAAGGCCUUAGUCCAGAUGCUGAAUGACAACAAUGAGCAUCACUUGUCUGUGAUUGCUAUUGUUGGCAUAGGUGGGGUUGGUAAAACAACUUUAGCCCAAUGGCUGUACAACAACGAGGAGUUCAUGAAGGUAUUUGGUCUGAGAGCAUGGGUUUGCAUUUCGGAGAAGUUUGAAGUUGUUGAGACUACAAGGAAUGUCAUAAAGCAGAUCCAUGGAGUUACUACAAUUGAUUCUGGGACCAAAGCUUUAGAAUUUCUGGCCUUGCGUGAGAACGAUGAUAGCACCAAAAAUACACCAUCUAUUUCUCCUAACGAUCAUCAGCCUAAAGAAUAUGGUGAGAUAUCAUUAAAGGACACUGAUCAAGUUGCCAAGAGCUCAUUUCCUUUGUGCAUGCGUCACCUAUUUGAAAAGCUUAGAGAUUUGUAACAAAUUAUGACCACAUUUCUAUAAUAUCUUUAAUCUGAGAGAGGAUCAUCAUUUAAAGCAUGCAGGGAGGAUGCAACUAGGCUUAUUUCUGAAGGUUAUGUUUGUGCAUUUUGAGCACAAGAAAAUACUGUUUUGUCUGUGCAGUCAUGAGUGAGAUGUUAAACAAGGCUGCUAUUAUGCACACGGGUGGACAGCCACUGUGUAGCUAAUCUGGUUAUAUUUUGACAUAUGUUUUCACCAUAUUCGUUCCUCUUUUUUCCAUUGCUCUGGUUGGGGACUUUCUGGAAGAAUGCUGACGGUUGAAGUUACUUUGUUUCAUGUUGCUGAAUAAAAUCAGAGCACUCUGUUAAUAAAAAGUUAAUUGUUGCUUUUAAAAAUUGUGAUAAAUUCGGUUUGAGUAGUUCUUGUAAUGGUUGUCCACACUUUUUUUUUUUGGUCAAGUGGAUUGGACAGCCCCCAAUCCUAGGCAUUACACCCAUGCAUUACACACUCACACAACCCACUCACACACACUACAUGGGGGUAACACACAAAUGGUUCUAUAUUCCUCCAAAUUAAGAAACAAUGGUUUAUGGUAAUAUGGUUUUGCCGGGUCCAAACUUUACUGUUUGUUUGGGCAUUGUCAGUCAAAGUAAUGCAUUUUGACGUUCCUUCAUUGUUGAACCAAAUGAUUUAUUGGGAUAUGCUUGAUUGAUGGAUCCAAAAAAGUUUCCUUAAUCCCUUUGCUUAUGACUUGCUCUUUGUGAUCUUAUAUUGUCUUGUCUUACUGUCCUUUUCUCCGUAACAUAAGCAGGGUGUUGGCCUGAACGUAGAUGAUUCACUUGCAUUUUGGAGAGAGGAGUUCUCUAAAAAGGAUUAUACUCCCUAUUGUUGUCAAAAGAUUAUUUUAUAAUGGUUGCCCUUAUCGACAUUUUGGGUGAGUGUUAUGAUCUGAUGAACGAUCAGGUAGAUAGUUUAACUUUCUAAAUUCUAACUAAUUUACUCCAUCUAAUUAUUGAUUGUUAUUGCCUUAUUGGGAAUGUUUAAUAUUAAGUCACGUUCUUUGGUGUUCUUUCCCCUUUCUUUUUGUUAUGAAUGAUUUGAUAUUUAAUUGGUAUCAUUUGAAUUAGCGAGGAGAAUGUAAGAGCUGCUCUCAGUAGAAUGGGGGUUAAUAGUCGGGCAGUGGAAGAUGUGAUGGGCAAAGUGAGAAAUAGAGAUUAUCAGGUUGGUCUCAACAUAACCUACUGAAAUAGGGAGUUGGUUUGAUGUCUGAGACGAUAUGGAUACUGUAUGUGCAGUUGGCCUGCGCCUUGACAUUUGAAGCUCUUCAUGCAGCGCCAUGUGAUGCAGGGAUUAACCAUCCAAAUCAAAGGCUAUUAAAGGCGAAGGUAGCAGUACAAACUUCAAUACUAGCGUGUUACCACAAAUAACUUGCACACAUGUUUUUCGUUUCUUGAUAAUCUUGAUUAUCAAUAGAAUCGGCACUUCAAUCCCAAAAUACGUCUAUAUAAGUGGGAGAUCUAAUUGGGUCUGACACCAUUAGACCACUAUCUCUAGACUCUAGUAUGAUAUUACUUACUAUUCAUUACUUUAAUGUACAGAAGGACUCUUCAACGUAAGAAUUUUGUUUAUCGCAAUGGACAGAGUACUGUGGCCCCUCCCAGAGUUCAAAUCCAAGGCGUUCCAGAAUUCUUUGGCUAUAUUUCUGCAAGGAGAAGGCGACGCUAUUCCCAACCGCAGUAUUAGCAACUUCGGCGUGCGUGCUCUUUAUCUCGCAGAUCUCUCUUUCACCGUUACUGCAAGUACUUGGCUUGCUCAACUUUCUUCGUUACAAUAUCUUGGCUUGCAAGGUAUGGAGAUCUGUAUAAGGUACUUAACACGCUUUCUUAUCUCUUAAAUUUAUAUCUAUCUUUCUGUAACCUUGGAAACUUGUCAUCACUUGUUUUUGAUUCUGUUUUCGCUCUUACAAAUCUCAAUCGUCUCUAACUCUCUUGCAUGGAAUCAUCUUAGUCAACAUUCAUGAGUCCUAAAUGCUUUUCAAACACUAUUCCUAUUAAAGUUCUUGACAUUUCAGGCAACCAUUUAAACUGUGUGCCCACAUCGGUACCUAAGUUUGGCAAUCUUGUUAAGCUGGGUUUGUCUUAGAGUAAUAUUAUAGUCUGAGCUUCAUUGAAGAUCUUAAUCUUUUUUAUUAUCACAAUUUAAUUAGGCUGUCAUAAUAGUUAGCUCAUUUUGAUAACCUUCAAGUAAUAUUUCUUAGGGUGUGGUGGUGAACUUCGUUCUACUCUUCAGAACAUGAUUUCCAUAGGGUCUCUCGAUUUCAAUGAAAACCGUCCGAAGUUCAAUAUUACUGUUGAGGAAGUUUGAAAACCUUGUUGAGUUAGAUCUUUCGGCUAAUCAGUUUUAUGGUCCAGUUUUUUAUGUUUUACGCAAUUUGACUUCUCUCAUAUCUUAGCCUUUUCAAUAGCUACUUGAAUUCACUUCCAUCGUAUUUAGGCGUAUUUAGGCGAGUUAAAGUGUCUUGUCCGUAUUGAUCUUUUUGUGAAUAAUUUCAUUGUUGUGCAAGAGGGUUUCCUAUAAUUAAUUUUGAGUAAUUUAUGUCAUUUGAAAUACUUGGAUUUGUCGGACAGUAGUCGAGGAUUGGCCUUCAACGACAAAGGAACUCUAUCGGUAAUGGUUAUGCUUUAGAGUAUCCGAAUUUGAAUGGGAAUGAAUUCGAUGGUUUUUUGUCCAGUUGGUUGGGACAAUUUAAAAUUUUGAUACACUUUGAUUUGUCUUUAAAUUUAUUUUCCGGUCCCAUUCAUUUUUCUGUUGAAAAUUUGACAAAAAUUGAGAGUUAAAUCUUGUAGAUAACUUUUUUAAAUUGAUUAAU